rnacentral:rRNA from 1 species
AGAGUUUGAUUCUGGCGUCGGGAUGAACGCUGGCGGCGUGCCUAACACAUGCAAGUCGAGCGAUUCUCUUCGGAGAAGAGCGGCGGACGGGUGAGUAACGCGUGGGUAACCUGCCUCAUACACAUGGAUAACAUACCGAAAGGUAUGCUAAUACAGGAUAACAUAAGAGAUUCACAUGGAUUUCUUAUCAAAGCUCCGGCGGUAUGAGAUGGACCCGCGUCUGAUUAGCUAGUUGGUAAGGUAACGGCUUACCAAGGCGACGAUCAGUAGCCGACCUGAGAGGGUGAUCGGCCACAUUGGAACUGAGACACGGUCCAAACUCCUACGGGAGGCAGCAGUGGGGAAUAUUGCACAAUGGGCGAAAGCCUGAUGCAGCAACGCCGCGUGAGUGAUGAAGGCUUUCGGGUCGUAAAACUCUGUCCUCAAGGAAGAUAAUGACGGUACUUGAGGAGGAGGCCCCGGCUAACUACGUGCCAGCCGCCGC